AUACUUAAUUGAGAUAUGGUCCAAGAAAGCAGAAAACAAAGCAAUGUAGGUCAGCAAACAAGCAGGAGGAGGAAUGUCUUUAAAGAAAGAGUGAGAUUUUCCAGAGUUCCAAGAGAAAGAGAGAGAAGAGAGAGAGGAGGGAGAGAAAGAGCAUGAAGUUGGUAACGCUAACAAAGUUUUUGAUUUGCUGUAUAUUCUUUUUUUUUUUUUGUGACUUCAUGGGAAGAAUUUUUAUAUUAUAUCAGAGUACAGGAAACAUGACUUUUCUUCCAUCUGGUGACAUCAUUGACAGGUCCUUGAGUUAUAAUUGGGUUAUGAGAUCUCUUCCUUCAAUACUGGCUUAUUACAUUAUGAAGCACUGUGGAGGAUGUACAUAACUGAUGUGUGUAUUUGAAAGAAUUAUUUUGCUUUUUUCUCAAAAUAUUUUAUCUAGAAACAAAAACAAACAAAGAGAA
ensembl:lincRNA